rnacentral:rRNA from 1 species
UACGUAGGGGGCAAGCGUUGUCCGGAAUCAUUGGGCGUAAAGAGCGUGUAGGCGGUCCGUUAAGUCGGCUGUGAAAGUCCCAGGCUCAACCUUGGGAUGCCGGUCAAUACUGCCGGACUAGAGUUCGGAAGAGGCGAGUGGAAUUCCCGGUGUAGCGGUGAAAUGCGCAGAUAUCGGGAGGAACACCUAUGGCGAAGGCAGCUCGCUGGGACGUUACUGACGCUGAGACGCGAAAGCGUGGGGAGCAAACAGG